ensembl:lncRNA
GACCAGGAAACGAACCCUGGCCAUGGUGAUGAGAGCAUGGAAUCUUAACCACUAGACCAUCAGGGCUGGCUGCUGGAUCCACACUGAACAUUUAACACAGAGUUUCCUGAAAUGUGCUCAUCAUUGGUGACAUGCAAGAUGAACUGAGUGUUAAGCAAACAUCUGAAAUUUUCAUCAGGUUCCCCUAGGUGUACCGCAUAAGAGAAGACCUGGGACAGGAUGCAAGAGGUGUGUGAUGAGGGCGCAGGUAAGACACUAUCGGAUUACACCCAUGGACGCUGGACCAAGACGACAGGGAACUCAAUGGCACAGCAGCGGCUGCAGUGGGAGACGAGGCUGAGAGGAAGUGAAGUGGUGCGUGACAGGUAUCCAGUACGCAUGCUGAGAAUGUUUUGGUACUGCAGACCCAGAGCAGGAAACAGUUUUCUAAUAACAUGCCUCUUCUUGUAGCAGAGGUUUCAGCCUGAACCCAGGCCUAUUCUUCUGUUGGAGUUUAUGUCCAGGCAUGUUUGGCAAAUUCAUGGAGCUGACCUGAGGGAGAGUUCUUUGUUCUUUUCCUUUAGGAAGGGGAAAGGGAUUUUUUUUUGAAGAGGAAGUGAGGCUUUCUUUCUUGUUUAAAAAAAUUAUUUUAUUGAGCUCAUAAUGGUUUAUAACAUUGUAAAAUUUCAUUUGUACAUUACUAUUUGUCGAUCUCCAUUUAUAUGUGCCCCUUUACCCCUUCUGGCCCCAUCCUCUUUCCCUCUGGUAACCACUAAUCUGUUCUUUUGUCCAUGUGUUUGUUUUUCUUCCACAUACAAAUGAAAGCAUAUGGUUUUUGUCUUUCUCUGUCUGGCUUAUUUUGCUUAACGUCAUAUCCUCAAGGUCCACCCAUGCUGUUGCAAAUGGGACAAUUUUGUCUUUUUUAUGCCUGAGUAGUAUUCCAUUGUAUAUAUACACCACAUCUUCUUUAUCCAUUCAUCAGCCAGUGGGCACUGGAUUGCUUCCAUAUCUUGGCUAUUGUGAAUAAUGCUGCAAUGAACACAGGGGUGCAUAAAUCUCUUUGAGUUGUUGAUUUCAAGUUCUUUGGAUAAUUACCCACUAGUGGGAUAGCUGGGUCAUAUGGUAUUUCUAUUUUUAGUUUUUUGAGGAACCUCCAUACUGUUGUCCAUAGUGGCUGCACCAGUUUGCAUUCCCACCAGCAGUGUAUGAGAGUUCGGGGAAAGGGAUUUUUAUGUAUAAGACCCUAAAGAGAGAUAUGAGAGAGAUGGAGGGAGCCAGUUGGUAGCUACCCCAUGACAAGGUCUGAACUCUAUGGAAAAACGGGCCUGGGCAGAAAGGGUGGGAUCUGGUUUAUGAGGGAUUCAGUACCUUGAUACCCAGCAGUACAAGCUCUUUAAAGGCCUUUAUGGGAAAGUGCAAUGUAGUCGGGGAGUCGGACAUUCUUCCCGCUUCUGCAUGGUUCCACAGGGAAGAUCAAAUGUUUAUAAAGCAAUAAACAGAGUUUGGGUGCUUCCAAGAAUGCCAUUCCAUGUGGCCUGAUUACCCUGUAUAUUUAGAGAGUGAGGAAGUUAUUUUAGGGACGUUAGUAGCUGUCAACAUUAGGGAUUGGCCAGUGGGGGGGUGGGACUGAGUCUGAACCAGCCUCCAGAGACAGCACAGGGGUGGUCCAACCAGGAGGCAAUAGGAAGAAGGCUUGGCAGGGGGUCAGAGUUCAGUAUCCGGCUGGAGAUAGUCUACUACUGGUAGCUAUUCAAUGAAAGAGUGGACAUCGAGUCAUGGGAAUUUGGUACAGGGAUUAUACCAAGAGAGGAAAUAGUAACAUUCCAGGUAAAGAGGAAAGAGCAUACAGAGUAGGAAUCCAAGAUGUAGCUCAGGAAGGCACAGGGAGGAGCCAAAUAGAAUCCAGAAUGGAUGUAAUUAUAAGGUAAUGAGGGCUGAAUCCAGUUACUGGAAAGAACGAGCCUUGAGAGUAACUAGCCGAAGGCUGCAUUUAGUUCCUCUUCCUAGGACAUGUCUGGCAGCUCAGAGGGAGGUGAAGAGGCUGUUUACUAGCUAAACAGGCAGGUGGGUGGCAGGGGCAGCGAGUCAGGCAGGUCUUCACUGUUGAAUUACCAAUAAUCUCCGAGUGUCUGAAUCCACCAACAAGCAAGCAGGGCCCAAAUGGAGAAAGCCUGUUUGCAACAGCCCUUAUAAGAGACUUCUGUUGUUCUUGUCUGUCUAGCACCUCUUCUCCUUCUGCUGCCAACGGAACUACUUUUUAGUGGGGAACCCCCAACUUCCGAGAGUAGUGAGCGUGUGACCUGAGCCCAGUCAAUCAGAGUGCUCCAUUUCCUUGGUUUGAGGAUGGGCGGGAAACCUAGAAAGGCCAAUCAGAUUCUUCCUUGAGAUUUGAUAUUUCAGUGAGUAGUUGGGGGGAGCAGAGCUCUCUCUCAAUCUUGGGAUCACAAGCUGUAAAGACGAUGUAGACUGGAGUUGCUUUGUGUCACCCUUCCUGGAUGCAUGGGGAAAGCCAUCUGCAGUAAGAGAGAAUGAGCCCAAUAUUAAGAGAGAAUCAGAAAUGAAGAGGGAUGAGAGAUAGGGUCCUAAGGACAUUUCUUGGGCACUAAAUCCAGUCACAGCCAUCCCUGCUCUUUUGUGAGCCAAUAAGUUCUCUUUUACUUAAGCCAGUUUCAAGCCAAUUUCACUUGGGGUUCUGUCACUUGCCACGUAAGGAAAUCAGACUAAUAUGUUUGCUUACUUACUGGUUCGUAGCAAUACGUAUCCGUUGCCUCCAUCCACAGCGAGCCUGAAAUUUAUGUUUGGACUGAAAAUACUUGCUCAAGUCUGACCUCCAUUGCUCUUCAUGAGAACACACUGACCACCUGGGCGAGCCUACGGCCAGUGCCGCUGUCUGGCAAAAUCUCGGUGAGAUCAGAUCUGUGUCACUGCCCAGCCCUGCUUUUGACAUCUGCCUGUGCUUAUGAGCUCCCUGCUCCCUCUUUCCCCGUGAUCCUCUCCGACUGUGGAUAAAAUCCUCAGUCCUUUCCACUUUGACUCUUCCUUUUUGCCAGUAAGUUUCAAACCUACAACUCAAAUCCUGACCUUUCUCCUGAAACCAGAUACCUGUUUUUAAUUUCUAUUUCCAGGUUCAAUGAUCAGCUCACACUCAACAAGUCCGAAACAGAACUCAUCAGUCUCCUGGUACUGUUGAUGGCACUACCAUUGUGCCAGUCAUCUGCCCUUGACAAUCUCCACAUUAUUUGGGCUGCCCUUCUUUCCCUCAUCCUCCAUGUACACUGAGUCAUGGAGCAAAAUCCCUUUCCUUCAUAAUGUCUGCGUGUGCCAGAAGCUGCGUGAGCUUCUGAAGGUACAACAAAAAUCAAGAUGUGAUCCCUGACUUGAAGAGCUUGGAUCCUACCAGAGGAACAAUCCAAGGCAGAAAGUGCUGAGUGCCACAUCAGCGGCAGCAGAGAAAGGACUAAGGGAGCCUGGUAGAGACAGCUUCAUGUCUGCUAUUGGGGAUCAGGGAAGAGUCGUGGUAGAACAGCCACAGUGCAUCAUGAGAAAAGAGACCCAGGAGAGCAACUGACUGAAGUGCUCUUGGAAUGACGACUUCAGUUUGCUGGUGCAUUGGGUCAAAGCACCGGGGAAACAUGGUUGAGGUCGGCACUGUGGAUGAGGCAUACAAAAGCCAGUUACAGCUCCAUUCUGUCUUGCUUUCCCAUAUAAUGGAGCUAGAAAACUGAAAUACCUGGUUCCCCAGCUCCUCUUGCAACUAUGCAUGACCAAUUUCUGGCCAGAGAGAGUAAAGAGAGGGCAACCCAGUGAAAGUCAUGGGAAAGUGUUUGAAAAGUGAAUAGGCUGUGCUGGCAUGCCCACCUUGGGCUUCCUCCCUCUCCCUUCUUCUUCCUAGUUAGGAACACACAUGCUUACUUGUGGGUAAAGCAGCCAUCUUGGCAACAUGAGACCUCCCCAAAAUAAGGAUAUGUUUGUAGGAUGACAGAGGAGAAAGAGAGAAAGAUCUUGCUUUCUCAGAUGACAUCAUCUGGCUGCUGUGAAGCCCUAGACUGUUUUCCCCACAUGCCUUAUGCAUGAAAAAAAAAAUCCCUAUUUAAGUAAAAAUCACUGUUAGUCAGAUUUUCUAUAACUUGCAGCUGAAUAAGAUGCUAACCUAUAAAGCCAUAUGUUAGAAAUACUGAGUACUAUUCUAGAUAAAUUGAAGUUUAUUCUAUAAGCAAGGAAGUUGCAGACAGCUCUUCACAUAGAGGUUAGGGGGAUGCUAUUAUCAGAAAAUUCUCUCCUUUUGCUGUUCACUGUCCAUGCCCUUCACGCUCAGUUUAGUGUCCACCUAUUCAUGGCAGCUUCUGUCUCUUGUCUUGGUCACCUUUAUCCUCACUCUCUGCUGGGCUAUUAUCAAGUAUAGCUUACUGACAUGUAUUGUUACUGAUUCUUCAUGAGUUUAUGUUAUGUAUUCCCAAUAGGACUGUAAUAGUGGUCAUGUUUUAUACUUCCUCUCUCUCUGUCUCUCUCGGUGCCCGGGCUGGAGAGAAGAACACAGUGGUUCCAUGCUCAGAUGGGAGGUCGUCUAGCUUCCUAAGCCGGCACAAAGCAAUAAUAUUCCCGGGAAGAGAGACACUUGUUCUGAGGGCUCAAGUCAUCCUCUGGAGUCAUUGGCCAUUUCCUGCAGGCUGGGGAGGUGGUGACAGCCACGCAAAUGGUGGAGAUCAUCUUGAGUUUACCACUGGUCCAAGUCCAUGGAGUUGGGUUACUUGGAUAUGGGCACCCCCAUAUGUCUAACGCCUUCCAAGAUAUUAAGUGUCAUGUAAACGCAGCACUUCCCCUUCUGCCCAUGAGUGUCUGUUGUCACCUGUCAGAAGGCAAUGCCAUAGGCUGUUUAUUUGAUGUGGAGACAAGAUACCACAUCUUCCUGGAGCCUUUCAACUUCUUAUGUCGUGAUCCUGGACAGCAGCGGUGCUGCAAUAUCUGGAACUACCAAAGAACAUUAAUGGAAGAAUGAGGGAUUGUUGGGGACAUGACCUCAUAGGAUGGGUCUUGCACAUUUGGGUACAGCAGAGAUGUUUAAAGAUUUGGGAUCUAGAGGUACAAAUUGUCUUUCCAUGGUCAGAGAAAGGUCCUGGAGCUGGAUAGAACCUGACGGUCUGGUCUUCCCUACCAAAUUCUGCUGUGUGUAUGGGAAUGGCUACCCUUUAUGCUAGAGCCUGCCCCAAGGCUGGGUCAGCUCUACUUUAAAAACCAACUUGAAAUGGUGGAUGCUUGACAGACACUAUUAUCCCCACUCCAACGAUGAGAACACUGAGGUCAAGGAUUUGGCUCAAGGUCAUCCCGCAAGGUCUUGUUGGAGGCAGAAAUAGCAUCUGAGCCUUCACUCCUAAUCCAGCUCUCAUUGCUUGUUGCGGUGUGCCAUGGCUGAAGUUACACGAUGAGGCAUCUAUCUAAACCAGAGAGCCAAGUUCUGGGUUCAUGUUACGUCUUUCUAUUCCUUCACUUGGCCUCCCACUGCUGGCUCAGAGCAGUUCCUUGCUCUGAUCUAUUGGUUUUUUCUUAGGCUGGAGAGAGUUACCACACUUCCUGAUCCUGACCUCCAGUGGAGGAGGGUGGAACCUAACGACAUCAUUUGGAUCAUACUUGACUCCAGCGAUUGCUCCAAACUUGAAGAGCAGCGAGUGGAGUCUUCGUCUUUUAACCCUAUCAAGUGACCUGGUCUUUAAUGCGUGAUUGGCAAUAAUGGAGGAGAUUCAGACAACCAUCCCCUGUCACAGCUUCCUGCUGGAGAGGCAGCAAGAAGCUAGGACUUAAACUCUGAGGGCAGAGUAUCCUGGAUUCACACCCCGACUCUGUUGUUUCCUGGUUGUGUGGCCUUCGGCAAGUCCCUGAACAUCGCGGUAGCUCAAUUUCCUGGUUUGUAAGAUGGGUGAAAAGAAUUCCUUAGGAUGAGGUAAUCUGGGCAAAGUUCCUGUCAUGUAAGAGAUAUUCAGGAAAUAUUGGUUUCUUCACUCCUCCCCACCCCACACACGUGUUGAAUACAGUAACUUUAUUUUCACCACCACCUUACAAGAAACAAUGGCACGCCUAGGUAAGCUGAGUGACUCAAGAGCUAGCAAAAACUAAGUCUUUGGAGUUAGCUACGUUGCAUGCCAAGUGUAAAUUUCCCAUUAAUGGGCUUUAAGUAUAUUAAUGGGAGAAUUUUUGUGCUCCUUGGAUGGAAAAAAAAUACAACAUUUUGUGCCUCUGGUAUCUGAGAGGAAGCCCUGAGACAGAUGGGUUCCCAUAAGUUGUGCAUCGUGAAUGCAAGGAAACUUCAUUCUUCUUACACUACCAGGCAGUCGAUCCAAAAUGGGGAAAAACUCUUUACAUGAAAGCAUGCAAUUACAUGCCAUACCCUGCAAUUCUAAUUACUGAUGACUUAAAUUGAAGCACAGCCUUUUACAUAGGAGUUUUAUGAUCAAGAAUUAAGAAAUUUAAAAAUAUUAUGGGGCCGGUUGAUGGCGCAGCAGUUAAGUUUGCACAUUCCACUUUGAUGGCCCCAGGGUUCACCAGUUCAGAUCCCGGGUGGGGACACGGCACUGCUUGGCAAGCCAUGCUGUGGCAGGCGUCCCACAUAUAAAGUAGAGGAAGAUGGACAUGGAUGUUUGCUCAGGGCCAGUCUUCCUCAGCAAAAAGAGGAGGAUUGGCAGCAGGGCUCAUCUUCCUCAAAAAAAAAAAAAUAAAUAAAUAAAAAAUAAGCCCCUAGAUAGACUCUUACCUUUAAAUGUAAUCAGUUUGGAAUGAUGACUUCAAUACUUUGUUUUUGGUGAGGAAGAUUGUCCCUGAGCUAACAUCUUUGCCAGUCUUCCUCUAUUUUGUAUAUGGGAUGCUGCCACAGCAUGGCUCGACGAGUGGUGCUAGGUCCAUGCCCGGGAUCCAGAACCAUGAACCCCGGGCCAGUAGGGCGGAGAGUACAAACUUAACCACUACAUCAUCAGGCUGGACCCCUAGAUACUUUCUUAAAAUUUUGCAUCAGUACAUUCUACUACAAUUCUCCUCUUUUGUUUUUCCUCCCCAAGCAAAAAGCAGGUCUGCCCUACUCACUUUACGGUCUUCUAUAAAUUUAAUUAAAAUCUCCCUGUUUGUAACACACUUAGACUGGCAGUGGGCAAGAGGGACAGGUACAAAGCUUUGUGACAUAAUCUUGUCCUCACAGAGCUUACACUCUGGUCAGUUCUUAGAUGGGUAAUUGCCCAAAUUAACCAGGCCAGAGCAACUGAGGAAAAGUAGGGUGUUCCCUCUCUGUCUCUCUCUUUCUGAAUGAAGAAGCCAAUUAAUGUUCACCCUAAAAUUGAAUCCUGGAUUGUUGUAAAUAACUAGACUUUUCUCCCCAAAUCAGAAAAGAAAUAAAAGUGUCAAUCAUCAUUAUUUUUGAAGUUGUAUAUUAGGUAAAAGUUGCUUAAACUCUAAAUAAUCAUUAAACAUAUAUUUCAAGGAGAAAACAUAAUAGAUUUUCAUUUUUAUAUCUACUGGAAAAGCAGGGCUGCCUUUUUGGGCUAUGACAUUCCAAAUUCUCAUUUAUAUACGGGUAGGCACAAUGCCCUUCUGGUUCUGGAUGUGGAAGGUGACAUUGGAGCCAUCAAGUAUGUUGAUGGAUAUAUUAAACAUCAUCUGGCUAUAUACAAGUAACAGAUAUUCCUUCCAGCCAUACUACUCAUAUAUUAACAAAAUAUUUCCUAAGAGAGAGGAAGAAGAUGUUCCCAAUGUGCUGUCAAUUUGAUAUGAACUUCAAGUUGUAUUUCUUUUAUUUGUUUACUUAUUCACUCAUUUAGUCAUUCACCCAAGAUGUGUGUAAUGCCCAAUGUGCCAAGCCCUAUACCACAUGUUGAGUAUCAGAGACGAAUGUGAUACUGUAGCCGUACUAUAUGAACUAACAGUUUAAACAACAAUUCUUGCCUUGUGGUCCGCAGAUUCCCCCAAUGGGUCUGAAGUUGGGCCUUAGGGCAUCAAAAAAUCCCUUGAAAUUAAAUGG